rnacentral:rRNA from 1 species
AGCUUGCUACUUUGCCGGCGAGCGGCGGACGGGUGAGUAAUGUCUGGGAAACUGCCUGAUGGAGGGGGAUAACUACUGGAAACGGUAGCUAAUACCGCAUGACGUCGCAAGACCAAAGUGGGGGACCUUCGGGCCUCACGCCAUCGGAUGUGCCCAGAUGGGAUUAGCUAGUAGGUGAGGUAAUGGCUCACCUAGGCGACGAUCCCUAGCUGGUCUGAGAGGAUGACCAGCCACACUGGAACUGAGACACGGUCCAGACUCCUACGGGAGGCAGCAGUGGGGAAUAUUGCACAAUGGGCGCAAGCCUGAUGCAGCCAUGCCGCGUGUGUGAAGAAGGCCUUAGGGUUGUAAAGCACUUUCAGCGAGGAGGAAGGCGUUGUAGUUAAUAGCUGCAACGAUUGACGUUACUCGCAGAAGAAGCACCGGCUAACUCCGUGCCAGCAGCCGCGGUAAUACGGAGGGAGCAAGCGUUAAUCGGAAUUACUGGGCGUAAAGCGCACGCAGGCGGUUUGUUAAGUCAGAUGUGAAAUCCCCGAGCUUAACUUGGGAACUGCAUUUGAAACUGGCAAGCUAGAGUCUUGUAGAGGGGGGUAGAAUUCCAGGUGUAGCGGUGAAAUGCGUAGAGAUCUGGAGGAAUACCGGUGGCGAAGGCGGCCCCCUGGACAAAGACUGACGCUCAGGUGCGAAAGCGUGGGGAGCAAACAGGAUUAGAUACCCUGGUAGUCCACGCUGUAAACGUUGUCGACUUGGAGGUUGUGCCCUUGAGGCGUGGCUUCCGGAGCUAACGCGUUAAGUCGACCGCCUGGGGAGUACGGCCGCAAGGUUAAAACUCAAAUGAAUUGAYGGGGGCCCGCACAAGCGGUGGAGCAUGUGGUUUAAUUCGAUGCAACGCGAAGAACCUUACCUACUCUUGACAUCCAG